ACCUAGCAGCCAAAAGAUAAAUGUACGCAGUCAGCAAGGAGAGAGAGAAAUAGAGACGCCGGAAGUGAACAGAUGGAUGAUUGGAAAUCAGAGGUCUCCUCCAUCAUAGCUUGUGUCGAUCACUGGACGGGGGAAAGAGGACCGCCGCCAUCACCGACGGAUCUGCUAGGCGCCAUCGCCGCUAGAUCUAUCAAGUGCCCAACUCCAUAACCGGCCGACCCAUCGUCCGCACUGCCGCCUCCCGUCACCGUCGAGCCGAGUUCGCAGAGGGAGACGACACCGACCGGAUCAGCGUCCUCCGUCCUAGCCGCUGCAGCCGAUCGAGACGACCGCCGCAUCUCCGGUGACCGAAGCGUCGUCCGCCGUUGCAGCCGCCAUCACCGCCGGCGAAUCAGCUCUGUCGCGCCGCCGCCGCCCCUUCCAGUUGCAACGCCAGUGCCUUCACCGUCCGUGACUCCAAGUCACGAUCCGCCGGCGAGUCGACGUCAACCUCCAGGAGCUCCAGCAAACAAAACUUCAAUAGGUUAAAAGGUGGAUGGUGUAGUUGUGAGACCAACCUAGGAGCAAUGGGAAGACCAGCUUAUAGCUUAUGUGCCAUCAUUAUAAGCUAAGUAACGUAACCGUUACUUCUGUUUUAAAACUACAACAUAAUGGCCUAUUGAUUUGCACCACUUGAUCGUGACAUUAACAGAAAAUUUUAUAGGCCGGUCUCAGCAGAAACGAAGAAGCAGAUUUGAGAGAGUGAGAAUGAGAGUCGGCGAUUGUGGCGGUGGAGGGCAGUGGUUGCAUCGCAGUGGAGCCGUUAGAUUUGAGAGAGCGAGAGUAAGAGGUGGUGGAGGCGUCGCGAUCGUCGUCUAGUGAGAGUGAGAGAGAAGGGAGUGUGAGAGGUGAGAAGGUAGCUAGAUCUGAUCUAGUUUGGGUCUUUUUGUUUAAUAGUGGAAUAUUUUUUUUAAAAUAUUAAAUUAUCGCGACCGUUCUACGAGAAAAGAGAACAGAUUGCUGAAACUAAUUAUUUAAUUUGUACUAGUGUAAUAAUCCAUUAUAUUAUCAAGAGUGAGAACUCAAGUAUAAUCCCAAUGAAGUUUUUCAGUUUGUUGGUUUGGUAAUUCUAAAGAGAGUAGUUCAUUGGCAUUCUUAGUUAGUUUGAGUUGACCGGUCAAGAUCAACCUAGGUUGUUUCCUUGUGGACCUUAGGUGAGGUUUAUCCGGUACAAACCUUUCGGUGGUGGCUAGCGUUGCGGAUAAAA